GACAGUUGUUGAAAAUGAAUCCUAGGCCUCCUUUCGUGGACAUACGACACAAUCCAAACCAUGCACAUUCAGAAGUCCUGUUGAAUUCAAUGUGGCAUGUUCCUAGAGCACACUGUUGACUGAAGUUGAGCAAACCCUUCUUGGCCAGAUGGUAAAAACUCCUUUGUCUGCAGGCCUUUACAGAUGGAUAAAUCCAGGGAAGGGCUGUGGUGGAAGAACAUCUGCCUUGCAUGCAGAAGAUCCCAGGUUCAAUCCCAAUGAAGGGCAGGAGAUCUGUCUGCC